ensembl:snRNA U6 U6 spliceosomal RNA
GUGCUUGCUCUGGCAGCACAUAUACUGGAAUUGGAACAAUACAGAGAAAAUUAGCAUGGCUCCUGUGCAAAGAUGACAUGCAAAUUUGUGAAGCAUCCCAUUAAAAA